rnacentral:lncRNA from 1 species
CAAAUGCACAAAAAUGAUGCAAAAACAUGUUAAAACAACUAAAGUGAACGCACAUCCUUCUGUCUGUGAUACUUGGGAAUAUAACUAUGAAUAGGUAUGGGAUCCACUGUUGUACUUUUAUGUGCAAACGGAAGCAAACUCUAACAAAGUACCAAUAUCAACGUCGUAGGUGAAAACUAAAACAAUCUCAAACUAACACGAGAUUUACGUGGUUCGGCGUAAAGCCUACGUCCACGAGCGAAGCACGGCAAAGAAUUUCACUAAACAAACGGAGAUUACAAAAGAGUGUUUAAACUUUCACAACCCAAAUCCCACAAAUUACAAACCCUAAACCAAACGAGUAGAGAACUCAAACAAAUGGAGAAGAUUCUCAAAAAUUGCUCUCUAACUCACAAACUCACAAAUUGACUCUCACCAAAUUGCCACACGAAUGAGCCACACUAAAUACACUAACCCUAAGGUCCUAUUUAUAGUGCAUAGGACUUAGGUUACAAUAAGAAUCCUAAUAGGAAGUAAAUCCAAAUCCUAAUCAAAUAGGUGAUUAACAAAAUCUCUCCACCAAGGAAACCAACUAAGAAGUCAAAAUCCAAACCUAAACCCAAAUAGGACACCAAAACCAAAUAGGUAACACAAACCUAAUUCUUUGCAUCAUCCUAAUUUUGAGCCGUAAAAACCUAACAAUCUCCAUCUCGGCGAGAAAUUAGCAAACUUCCUAAUUUGGGAUAUCAAAAUACAAACACAAACGUGCACCAAAUUCUUUUGAAAUUGAUCUCCACCUAGAAUAAAAAAAAUCCAGAAAUCUUCAAACUUGAAAUUUCCUCCAACGCCUUCUCCAACAAAUUCCAUUACAGAAGCUAACAAAUAUGAAACAAAAUCCAAGCAAAAGCUUGAACAUAUGAACAAAAAGUGCGAAUUGCACUCCACCCAAAGAGCUUGAGUACCAAGCUCCAUCUCCUCACAUAACCUUUAGAGGAGUUCAGAACAAUGAUCUUCUGCAAUGUUUGCAUCAACACUAGCAAAAGACUUAUCAAACGGCUCCUUUUUGCCCUUGAGUUUAGGGCAAUCUACUUUCCAAUGACCUUCCUUAUAACAAUAGCUACAAGUGUUCUUUCCAAGUUUGCCCCUUUCCUUAUUUCUUCUUUGAACUACCAAAGCUCCAUUUUGUGUGUCAGACACUUUAUUCUUUAGCUCUUUAGAAUUCAAACCGACUUUAAAAUCUUUCAAACUAAGACUUUCUCUACCAAAUAGCAUGGUAUCGACAAAGUGUUCAUAUGAAGGAGAUAAAGAACACAACAAAGAUAUUGCAUAAUCCUCAUCACUAAUUUGGUUGUCCACACUUUUCAAAUCCAUCAUAAGUUUAUUGAAUUCAUCAACAUGCUUAUGAAUUGACGUACCUUCAUCCAUACGAAGAGUAUGCAAACUUUUCUUCAAAUACAACUGUUUAGCAAGGGAUUUGGUCAUAUACAAGCUCUCCAAUUUUAUCCACAACUCCGGUGCAAAUUUUAUGCUACCAACUUCACGCAAGACUCAUUUGAUAAAGUUAGCAAGAUUGCUCCAAGUGCCUGCUCCAUAACGUCUUCUUUUUCUUCAUCAGUCCACGAAUUCGGCAAAGCCUUCACACCCUUUAGCAUUUUCAAAAGCCCUUGUUGAACUAACAAAGCACGCAUCUUCAAUUGCCAAAUACCAAAGUCAUUGCCGUCGAACUUUUCAAUAUCAACUUUCACCGAUAACACAAAAGGCUUCAUAGUGACUGCCAAGCAAAGCCCAAGCCGAAACCUGGCUUUUAUACCACUGGUUGUACUUUUAUGUGCAAACGGAAGCAAACUCUAACAAAGUACCAAUAUCAACGUCGUAGGUGAAAACUAAAACAAUCUCAAACUAACACAAGAGAUUUACGUGGUUCGGCAUAAAACCUACAUCCACGAGCAAAGCACGGCAAGGAAUUUCACUAAACAAACGGAGAUUACAAAAGAGUGUUUAAACUCUCACAACCCAAAUCCCACAAAUUACAAACCCUAAAUCAAACAAGUAGAGAACUCAAACAAACGGAGAAGAUUCUCCCAAAUUGCUCUCUGACUCACAAACUCACAAAUUGACUCUCACCAAAUUGCCACACGAAAGAGCCACACUAAAUACACUAACCCUAAGGUCCUAUUUAUAGUGCAUAAGACUUAGGUUACAAUAAGAAUCCUAAUAAGAAGUAAAUCCAAAUCCUAAUCAAAUAGGCUAUUAACAAAAUCUCUCCACCAAGGAAACCAACUAAGAAGUCAAAAUCCAAACUCAAACCCAAAUAGGACACCAAAACCAAAUAGGUAACACAAACCUAAUUCUUUGCAUCAUCCUAAUUUUGAGCCUUAAAAACCCAACAUCCACGUCCUGACUUGCUAAAAUUUCAGGCAGAUCACCUUCAUACUUCACUGAUGGAUGAUGAUGGUGAUGAUUGUCGUGUUUGGUGAUUGAAAAAAUUGAUUCGGUAGUUUAUCCACAAGAGUAAAAGUGCACAAGAAGGAAGGGGGAGGCAAAAACAAAAUUAACUGACUUGCUUGACAAGAUAAGGAGCUGGCACAUUUGAUUGAAUAAAAUCUAUCAGGGAUUUUGCUCUCUUGUAUUACUUGGUUGGCCUUAAGAUGCCUUAUUUUUGCUCCGUCAUCCUUCAUAGUAGCAUACAUGACAUGGAACAUUGCAAUGUGCUAAAAGUAAUAAGUAGGGGCUUCGAUGUGGACCCAGAAGAUAGUAUGGACCCUGGUAAUAUACCAUUGCAAAGGGAACCCCAAAUCCCUGUCAAGAAGGGACUUACAACACUCCCUCCCCAUCCCCACCCCUCUGACCCCACCAAAGAAACUUUCUAGUCAAGAUGCAUUAAAUAUAAUUAACACACUUUUGAUAUGAGGAUGAAAU